UCCGGUCAACAGUCUCACCUUCCCAGGCAGGCUGCUCCACCAAACUACAGCAGUCUUAGAAAACUUAAUGAGAACCAGUUGUAGUGGCCGCUGGCAAACUUUUUCAGAGUCGCUGAUUGGUCAGUGGCGGAGAGCUGUAGCCAAUCAGCGCGGUGUUUGGGCGCGCAUUGUGGACCAAAGGUCCAAGUGGGCAUCUGGCGGGCAUAGUGGCCUGCAGAGACUCGAGGUGUGGAGUGCAGAGCCAGGGAGGAGUGAGCAUGUCUUGGGACCCGACAGCCAGGCGGCUGGCACCGCCAUCACCGCUAUCGCUGCUCCUGGUGCUGGUGCUGCUGUCAUGAGCCGGGGCUCUGCGUUCUGAAGAGCUCUUUCCUUAUGGGAAGUCGUGGGGAGACUGGCUGCCGCGGGAGGGCGAAGUGGAAAGCUCCGUGGCUGUGAAGCUAGCAGUACCUCUACGCUUCUACGGUGUCCAGUUCAGCAACGUCUAUGUGGGCACCAAUGGCAUCAUCUCCACCCAGGACUUACCCAGGGAGACUUCAUAUGUCGUUGAUGAUUUUCCUACUGACUUCCCAGCCAUCGCCCCAUUCCUGGCUGACAUCCACUCGAGUCACAGCAGUGGCCGGAUCCUGUAUGGAGGACACCUCCUGGGCUGUGCUGAGUCUGGCUGCUUACUACCUGUGCACAGGCUUCCCGCUGACCGGGUCCAGCUUCCCCCCUACCCACUUCUUCUUUGCCACCUGGGAGCAAGUGGGCGCCUAGGAGGAGGACAGGCUUGGGGCUGCGUGGUUUGGAGAGGUCCAGAAGAGGGCUUGGGCCCCCUGAAGCUGGAGUUGUUACAUACAGGCAGUUGUGAACUGCUUGACUGACAGUGGAUACAGAGAUUUGAGCUAGCAUGCUGAACGGACUACAAGGUGCUGAGCCACCUCUUCAAAGCCAACACUUCUUAAAGUGUCAAAACACUGCACAGCCUUAGCUGACAUCACAGGAGAGUGAGCAAGGAUGCCAUGAACUUCUUAGUAAGUUCCCUGUAGCUUUCUCCACAUUGCCUUUGUAACAGUUUACAUACUUCUGUCUGCAGGAGCCUGCUUUGCAGUCUCCCUGGAGAAAACACCAACUCUGCUCUGGCUUUGGUCUUGGCAACAUGUGAAGCGGGUAUGGGUGGGUGAGGGUAAAUGGCCUCAUUCCUGGUGUAGGUAGAGACAGAGUCCUCUUGUGAAAUUCCACCUGGGUGUAAAAUGCCAUAGACCUGGAGCAAAUCUGUGUUUGCUUUAACUCCCCUAGUGCCUCUGAGCUACAGAAGUGAUGUCUUCCCUAAGAGCUUGCCCAUUGUUCCUGUGUUUGUUCUGUGAACUUAAAGGAAGAGACAUGUUUUCCUAAAGCCUGCACCAGCAGAGAUGGAGAAAUAAACAUUGUUUGAAGUUACAGUUUCUUACUUGACAGGUUAACAUCCAGGUUUGUUUACUGACUAGCCUUGUAAUGCCUUGGGUUUGACAUCUCAAUUACAGUUCAACAGAAUACCUUCAACUCAAACACUGCCUCCUUCGGGCAGGUCAGCUAGAAGGCUAGAGAAGACAGUCCCCACUGUUAAGUUUCAUUCACUCAGUCAUUCAUUCAUACAUUCUUUUUAAAACGUUUAUCUAAUAUCAUGUAUAACAAGCUUAUAGUGGAAAAAAAUACUUUUCUAAUACAAGCAACUAGGUCGCCAAUUCUAAUAUUUCUAUUUUCUUACAGUCUUUUUUAAAAUUUUUAAUUUAUGAGUGAGAGUGUGGGUGUGCAUGCACAUGUGUGCAUAUGCAUGUGUGAACCAGAGGUCAACUUUAAAUGUCUUUGCUUGGGAGACAUCUUGUCUUUCUACUCAGGGUCUCUCUGGGACCUGGGGCUCCCCAGUUAGGCUAGGCUUGCUGGCCAGUGAGCCCUAGGGAUCUGCUUGUUUUUGUCUCCAGAGCAGAGAUUACAAGUGUGCUGCCACGACCUGCUUUUGAUCUGGGUGCUGCCAUUCAAAUCAGGACUUCAUGCACGCACAGCAAGUACUUCAUAGGGUGUGCUGCCUUCCCAGCUUCUCCUGUAAUGUUAAAAAAAAUCUGUGUCACAGGGUUAGGGUUAGAAGCUAGGGUUUAGGGUUAGGAGUAAGGGGUUAGGGUUAGGGUUAUAUAUGCAGAGAGUCAUAUAUAUCAUGUAUAAUCUCUAUCUGAACAAAGUCAAUAUUUGUUAAUUCAGAAACUACUUUUACCCGUUUUCCUUAUAUCGGCACUGAAAUAGACAUAGACUCUAAGCGGAAUGCUCUUACUCUGAAUGGCCUCUCUUACAUUUAGUAGGAACACCAUUGAUAACCUUUUGUUGUGGUAAUAUGGUAGACUCUCCAGCUAGAGCUUCCUCCAAACCCAUCUUGAUUCAGGGAUUCCAUUAGGGUAGGUUUCAGUGAGCAAGCAAUUUCUCCAGGAUAGAAGGCAGAGCAUGUAUCAGCCUGUGCGCUGGAGGUUAAUGUACUAGGGGCAUGGCAGGCACAGUGUCUUUCAGAAGAGCAGGGUUCUGGGACAGGAGCACUCAAGGGUAGAGACGUUGUCCCCUCUGAGGACUGCAAUUGGUUCCUGGAAGUAGGCAGCCUUGAACGAUUUGAAGUGGGGGAGUCUGACGUUUAUAUUGUUCCUUUUGUUUUGCUUUUGAUCACCCCCCCCCCAUGCAUCUCAGGUUGGCCUCAAACCUCAAAAUGGAGGAUGAUCUUGAAUCUCUGAUCCUUUUGACCUGACUGACCUGUGCUGAGAUAGUGGGUGUGCAGCAUCACACCCUACCCAUUUGAUGGGAACUGAACCGAGAGUGCAGGCUGACCAGGCACUCUACUAGCUAAGCCACAGUCUUUCUGGUGACCUUAGUUAGUAAGGGUCAAAGGGCAAACUACUUAGACAACUGUUAAAUAGUCUGUUUGUUCACACCAUCAGACUUCUCUUUAAAUUUUUUAAAUUGUGUUUAUGCACAUGGGUCAUAUGUCUACACACCGUUGCAUGCAGUGCCCGUGGAAUACCCUGGACCGGAUUACCUACAGUUGUGAGCUGUCAUGUGAGUGCUGGGAAAUGAACAAGGGUCCUCUGGAAGAAGAGCCAAUGAUCUCAACCAGGGAGCCAUCCCUCUGCCCCCCUCUCCUUACCUUCUUGCAGGAGUGUUUUAUACUGUCUUCUCGACACAGUCCCACAGGAUAAGUACAGUAAUUACUGUUUAUAUCACAGAAGAGAAAAUAAUUUUCAAAUCUGCCUUAAGUGAGGCAAAGUCACCUUAGAAGACAUACUUUUCCCCUUUAUUACAUUUUUCAUGCAAGACUCAUUUUCUGUACACAAAUCAUAUAAGUAGUUACAGUAACAAUCGCUGUGCUUUUUCUGAAGACAUCUAAUAAAUAAGGUUAGCGUUUUAGUGUUCAUUGUGGCUUUGGUGCUAGGACAGUUCUUGGAGCCAUAUUCAGAGGAAGUGUGAACUGGAGUGAAGUUGCUGUGAAGGAUGCUUCUGAUGAUAACCUCACUAUGAAAUUACUGUUCUGCUGCUCCCAAGGAAAAUUCAGCUGAAUUAGCUAGCCUCUUGCAACAGAAAAAGCAAACAAAAAAAAAUUAGAGCAAGAAGCAUUUGCACUGAGGCUCCGGGGUCUUGAGGCUGCGGUGAGUCCCAAGUGUUUUAGUGUUUAUUUGACAUGAAGGUUACAGCCCUAGAGAGAUGAGUUUACUACUUAGGAUUCUCAUUUCAUUAGCAACAUUUCAUUAGAAACAGUCUUUGACAGUUUCCUUUUGGUGUCCGUGCAUGCGGUACCUGUGUCUCUGUGUGUGCCUGCGCAUGUGUGCGCAUGUGCAGGCACACACAGACAUUCAUGCAUGGCUCACAUUUGUGUGGAGAUGCAUGUGUGUGCAGACCAGAGAAGAACUUUGAGUGUCAUUCCUUAGGCACUAUCCACCUUUUAAAAAUUACUUAUUUGUUCUGCGUACGUGUGCAUGCUUUGACACUGUGGUAGUCAGAACACAACUUCAGAGUCAGCUCUCUGCUAAUCCUCCUUCAUGGGGUCUGGGAAUUGAGCUGUGGUCAUCAGGCUUCCGAGGUAAGUGCCUUUAACCUGCUGAGUACUCUAUCCAGCUCCCUUUCAAAUCAUUUUCAGGCACACCUCCCUCUGACCCAGUACUCAGCAGCUAAGCCAGGAUUGAUUGUUGGGUGACGAGGCUCUCGGAGUUGCCUUCCUUCUUAUGGGACUACAGAUCUGGGACUGACAGACACCAUGACUGUUUUUGUUCAGUGUGUAUUCUAGGGAUCAAACUCAGGUGCUUAUGCUUGAAUAGCAACUCCUCACACUGAACCAUAUUCCCAGCUCUUCCUUCAAUUUUGCAGUUCUGGGACUUGAACACAAGUCCUCAUGAAGGUUAGCUAAGUAAGUCCUUCAUGAACGAGCAACACCCAUAGGCACAAUAAUUCUUUCAUUACACCUUCCAGGUACUUGUGAAGUCAGGAACAAGGCAGAAAACACUUGCAGCAGUGGUCUUGGAAGACACAAGCCCUCGGUCUUCAUUUUCUAAGCUGUAGAUUGACAUGGUAGUGCUGACUUUUUAGGGUUGUCAUGAGAAUUAACCAAGGCGAUGUGUUGUUCCUGCCAUGUAAUGAUCCUGUGGUAGAACUCCUUUAUGUAAGGACUUGGUUGUUUUAUUUCAUUUUAUUCUCUCUCUGUGUGUGCAUGUAUGUGUAUGUAUAUGUUUACGUGCUACAUGUGAAUAUGUAUGUCUAUGUAUGGUGUGUGUGUAUGUAAAUAAUCUAUGUUUAUCAACCCGAUAACUCCUAAUGAAAUAGAAGCAGUCAUUGAAGGUCUCCUAACCAAAAAGA